rnacentral:rRNA from 1 species
GUUUGAUCCUGGCUCAGAACGAACGUUAGCGGCGCGCUUAACACAUGCAAGUCGUGCGAGAAAGGGAGCAAUCCCCGGUAAAGCGGCGCACGGGUGAGUAACACGUAGGUAACGUCCCCCAGGUGGUGGAUAACCUUCCGAAAGGAGGGCUAAUACAGCAUAAGACCACGGCCCCGUAAGGGGUUGAGGUCAAAGUCGGCCUCUAUUCAUAAGCUGACGCCAGGGGAUCGGCCUGCGGCCCAUCAGGUAGUUGGUAGGGUAAUGGCCUACCAAGCCUAAGACGGGUAGCUGGUCUGAGAGGAUGAUCAGCCACACUGGAACUGAGACACGGUCCAGACUCCUACGGGAGGCAGCAGUGGGGAAUCUUGCGCAAUGGGCGAAAGCCUGACGCAGCGACGCCGCGUGGGUGAUGAAGGCCUGGUUGUAAG